GAUGAACGCUGGCGGCGUGCUUAACACAUGCAAGUCGAACGGAGUGCCUUUGAAAGAGGAUUCGUCCAAUUGAUAAGGUUACUUAGUGGCGGACGGGUGAGUAACGCGUGAGGAACCUGCCUUGGAGUGGGGAAUAACACAGUGAAAAUUGUGCUAAUACCGCAUAAUGCAGUUGGGCCGCAUGGCUCUGACUGCCGAAGAUUUAUCGCUCUGAGAUGGCCUCGCGUCUGAUUAGCUAGUUGGUGGGGUAACGGCCCACCAAGGCGACGAUCAGUAGCCGGCCUGAGAGGGUGACCGGGUCACAUUGGGACUGAGACACGGGCCCAAACUCCUACGGGAGGCAGCAGUGGGGAAUCUUCCGCAAUGGGCGCAAGCCUGACGGAGCAACGCCGCGUGAAU
rnacentral:rRNA from 1 species